rnacentral:rRNA from 1 species
AUUGAACGCUGGCGGCAGGCCUAACACAUGCAAGUCGAGCGGAUGAAGGGAGCUUGCUCCUGGAUUCAGCGGCGGACGGGUGAGUAAUGCCUAGGAAUCUGCCUGGUAGCGGGGGAUAACGUCCGGAAACGGGCGCUAAUACCGCAUACGUCCUGAGGGAGAAAGUGGGGGAUCUUCGGACCUCACGCUAUCAGAUGAGCCUAGGUCGGAUUAGCUAGUUGGUGGGGUAAAGGCCUACCAAGGCGACGAUCCGUAACUGGUCUGAGAGGAUGAUCAGCCACACUGGAACUGAGACACGGUCCAGACUCCUACGGGAGGCAGCAGUGGGGAAUAUUGGACAAUGGGCGAAAGCCUGAUCCAGCCAUGCCGCGUGUGUGAAGAAGGUCUUCGGAUUGUAAAGCACUUUAAGUUGGGAGGAAGGGCAGUAAGUUAAUACCUUGCUGUUUUGACGUUACCAACAGAAUAAGCACCGGCUAACUUCGUG